GGCGAUGAUGAAAGGACCCCUCUGAACCAUGAUGAGGGUAUUGAGUUCUGAGC
rnacentral:snoRNA from 1 species